CACGUAGGGUGCGAGCGUGUCCGGAAUUAUUGGGCGUAAAGAGCUCGUAGGCGGUGUGUCGCGUCGGCCGUGAAAACCUGCAGCUUAACUGUGGGCUUGCGGUCGAUACGGGGCAUCACUGGAGUUCGGCAGGGGAGACUGGAAUUCCUGGUGUAGAGUGAAAUUCGUAGAUAUCGGGAGGAACACCAGUGGCGAAGGCGGCUCUCGUGGCCAUCAACUGACGGCUGAGACGCGAAAGCGUGGGGGAGCAAACAGG
rnacentral:rRNA from 1 species